rnacentral:rRNA from 1 species
CCUACGGGUGGCAGCAGUGAGGAAUAUUGGUCAAUGGGCGCGAGCCUGAACCAGCCAAGUAGCGUGAAGGAUGACUGCCCUACGGGUUGUAAACUUCUUUUAUAAAGGAAUAAAGUGAGGCACGUGUGCCUUUUUGUAUGUACCUUAUGAAUAAGCAUCGGCUAACUCCGUGCCAGCAGCCGCGGUAAUACGGAGGAUCCGAGCGUUAUCCGGAUUUAUUGGGUUUAAAGGGAGCGGAGAUGGGUUGUUAAGUCAGUUGUGAAAGUUUGCGGCUCAACCGUAAAAUUGCAGUUGAUACUGGCAGCCUUGAGUGCGGUAGAGGUAGGCGGAAUUCGUGGUGUAGCGGUGAAAUGCUUAGAUAUCACGAAGAACUCCGAUUGCGAAGGCAGCUUACUAGACUGCAACUGACGUUGAUGCUCGAAAGUGUGGGUAUCAAACAGGAUUAGAUACCCGUGUAGUC